UAUGGAACCGGUGUGGAACCAGCCUAAGACCCUCCGAUGGUAAAGGGCCUAUUUAUAAGAGGCAUUUUGUGUGCUCUUAGUACUCACUUUCGAUGUGGGACUCGUGGGAGGGCCCUAUGAGGUUGACACGAGUCUUUAGAUAUUUCGGGCGGGCACUUCGAGGUUGAUUCUAUAGAAUCGGCAGCGUGUGCCGAUUCCAGGCAAUGUUGAGACUAGUGAUCGUUUGUGGCUUUGAGACAAUGUCAUCGGUACCGGAUGCUGAUUGUACGAGGCCUUGUGUGAGAUCGCCUAAUCCACGUGUCGUUGGAUGAGUGGAGGGUCAGAUAUGUGGGGCUCGGUCAAGGUUUCUAAAGGCCAAGAUAACAACUAGACACCAUGCCUAGAACAUGGAACUGCAAGGACGCCAACGUAAAGGGCUAUGGAGCAGAACUCAGAGGUUCCCUGACAUACA